AUGCUCACUUCGGCAGCACAUAUACUAAAAUUGGAACGAUACAGAGAAGAUUAGCAUGGCCCCUGCACAAGGAUGACACACAAAUUUGUGAAGCAUUCCAUAUUUUU
rnacentral:snRNA from 1 species